rnacentral:rRNA from 1 species
CACGCACGCUGGCGGCAUGCCUAACACAUGCAAGUCGAACGAUGCCUUCGGGCAUAGUGGCGCACGGGUGCGUAACGCGUGGGAAUCUGCCUUUCGGUUCGGAAUAACUCAGGGAAACUUGAGCUAAUACCGGAUAACGUCGCAAGACCAAAGAUUUAUCACCGAAAGAUGAGCCCGCGUAGGAUUAGCUAGUUGGUGAGGUAAAGGCUCACCAAGGCGACGAUCCUUAGCUGGUCUGAGAGGAUGAUCAGCCACACUGGGACUGAGACACGGCCCAGACUCCUACGGGAGGCAGCAGUGGGGAAUAUUGGACAAUGGGCGAAAGCCUGAUCCAGCAAUGCCGCGUGAGUGAUGAAGGCCUUAGGGUUGUAAAGCUCUUUUACCCGGGAAGAUAAUGACGGUACCGGGAGAAUAAGCCCCGGCUAACUCCGUG